rnacentral:rRNA from 1 species
AUGACCCCAUCAGCGACCCUACCAAGGAGCAGCAGAUUACUUCUCAUCCAAUCAGUUCUCAUGGUGAUGCCCAUCCACUCAAUGCUAGCAUUGGGGCUGCCACCCAAAACGCUAGCAGCAAUGACCAAAAUAUGUCGGAGUUUCCUGUGGUGCGGCAAGGCGGAGGCAGGAGGAGGUGCAUGCGCAGUCGCCUGGGAUGUCGUUUGCCAUCCAAAAUGGGCUGGCGGUCUCGGUGUGCUGGACUUGCGGUGGAUGAACGUAGCCCUGCAGUCAAAGUGGAUGUGGUUGCAAAGGACGGACACUUCCACGCCAUGGGCGGAAUUUGUCAUUCCCGUGCCCAAGGAGUCCAAACUUCUGUAUCAAGCGGCUGCGCGCGUGCACCUGGGCGAUGCCAAGAGUACUCUAUUCUGGGAGGACCGAUGGCUGUUGGGAUCCCGCAUUCAGGAGCUUGCGCCGAGUCUCUACGACUGCAUUCCGGCGCGUGUGAGGAAAUCUCGAACCGUCUGCGAGGCCAUGGCCUUCGGUGCCUGGGCACGGGACGUC